UCCGGUUUGUCACCGGCAGUCCCAUUAGAGUGCCCAACUGAAUGUAGCAACUAAUGGCAAGGGUUGCGCUCGUUGCGGGACUUAACCCAACAUCUCACGACACGAGCUGACGACAGCCAUGCAGCACCUGUGUUGCGGUUCCCUUUCGGGCACCAAGACAUCUCUGUCCCGUUCCGCACAUGUCAAGGGUAGGUAAGGUUAUUCGCGUUGCAUCGAAUUAAUCCACAUCAUCCACCGCUUGUGCGGGUCCCCGUCAAUUCCUUUGAGUUUUAAUCUUGCGGCCGUACUCCCCAGGCGGGACACUUAACGCGUUAGCUGCAGCAAAGAGGGGCAAGCCCCCCUUCACCUAGUCGUCAUCGUUUACCGCGUGGACUAC
rnacentral:misc_RNA from 1 species